CAGUCGGUAACACGUAGGGGGCGAGCGUUGUCCGAAGUUACUGGGCGUAAAGCGCGCGUAGGCGGCUUCUUAAGUCUGAGGUGAAAGGUUCAACGCUUAACGUGAACAGUGCCUUGGAUACUGGGGAGCUUGAGUAUGGGAGAGGGCAGUGGAAUGGCUGGUGUAGCGGUGAGAUGCGUAGAUAUCAGUCGGAACACCCAUGGCGAAGGCAGCUGCCUGGCCUAAUACUGACGCUGAGGUGCGAAAGCGUGGGGAGCGAACGGGAUUAGAUACCCCCGUAGUCCCUGUCUAUUAUACACAU
rnacentral:rRNA from 1 species